UGGGGAAUAUUGGGCAAUGGGCGAAAGCCUGACCCAGCGACGCCGCGUGAGGGAAGAAGGUCUUCGGAUUGUAAACCUUAGUCAACAGGGAAGAAGAAAAUGACGGUACCUGACUAAGAAGCCCCGGCUAACUACGUGCCAGCAGCCGCGGUAAUACGUAGGGGGCAAGCGUUAUCCGGAUUUACUGGGUGUAAAGGGAGCGUAGACGGCGGAGCAAGUCUGAAGUGAAAACCCAAGGCUCAACCAUGGGACUGCUUUGGAAACUGUUUAGCUAGAGUGCAGGAGAGGUAAGUGGAAUUCCUAGUGUAGCGGUGAAAUGCGUAGAUAUUAGGAGGAACACCAGUGGCGAAGGCGGCUUACUGGACUGUAACUGACGUUGAGGCUCGAAAGCGUGGGGAGCAAACAGGAUUAGAUACCCUGGUAGU
rnacentral:rRNA from 1 species